GGUGGGGUUCCCGAGUGGCCAAAGGGAGCAGACUGUAAAUCUGCCGUCAUCGACUUCGAAGGUGAGAAUCCUUCCCCCACCACCA
rnacentral:tRNA from 1 species